rnacentral:rRNA from 1 species
AGUGGACGCUGGCGGUAGGCCUAACACAUGCAAGUCGAACGGCAGCACAGUAAGAGCUUGCUCUUACGGGUGGCGAGUGGCGGACGGGUGAGGAAUACAUCGGAAUCUACUUUUUCGUGGGGGAUAACGCAGGGAAACUUACGCUAAUACCGCAUACGACCUACGGGUGAAAGCAGGGGAUCUUCGGACCUUGCGCGAUUGAAUGAGCCGAUGUCGGAUUAGCUAGUUGGCUGGGUAAAGGCCCACCAAGGCGACGAUCCGUAGCUGGUCUGAGAGGAUGAUCAGCCACACUGGAACUGAGACACGGUCCAGACUCCUACGGGAGGCAGCAGUGGGGAAUAUUGGACAAUGGGCGCAAGCCUGAUCCAGCCAUACCGCGUGGGUGAAGAAGGCCUUCGGGUUGUAAAGCCCUUUUGUUGGGAAAGAAAAGCAGCAGGUUAAUACCCCGCUGUUCUGACGGUACCCAAAGAAUAAGCACCGGCUAACUUCGUG